CGGAGUUAGCCAGUGUCAACCA
rnacentral:miRNA from 14 species